rnacentral:rRNA from 1 species
AUUGAACGCUGGCGGCAGGCCUAACACAUGCAAGUCGAACGAGUGGCGGACGGGUGAGUAAUGUCGGGGACACUGCCUGAUGGAGGGGGAUAACUACUGGAAACGGUAGCUAAUACCGCAUACCAUCAGAUGUGCCCCGAUGGGAUUAGCUAGUUGGUGGGGUAACGGCGGACCAAGGCGACGAUGCCUAGCUGGUCUGAGAGGAUGACCAGCCACACUGGAACUGAGACAAGGUCGAGACUCCUACGGGAGGCAGGAGUGGGGAAUAUUGCACAAUGGGCGCAAGGCGGGUACAGCCAUGGCGCGUAUAUGAAGAAGGCCUUCGGGGUUUAAAGUACUUUAAGUUGGGAGGCGUUACGAACAGAAUAAGCACCGGCUAACUUCGUGCCAGCAGCCGCGGUAAUUC